UGGCUUGACAUUCUCCUGUUGCCAUAUAAUAACACCCCAAUCUGCAGAACAGCUUAAAAAUACAUCAUGACAAAAUGGAUUCCAUGUCACUUUAUACACUGGACCCUAGAAAUAAAAAAAAAAUACAUAGGUAUCUAAGUAUUGUUCAUUAUAUGAACAAGAACAUUUGUGAAUAUGACCUUCUUCAGUGCCAGCCAAAUAGAUAUUUGUGUCCUACAACACAAAACAUCGAAAUGCAUUGGCUUGUGAUACAUUAGUAAGUGUGAUAAAUAGAAGAUUAGAUAUUUCUGGAUCUAUUAAAAUCAAUUCAAGAACCCAAAAUAAAAACACUAUCUUGAAUAUACCAAUCUUGUCUUUUUCUUUUGUCAUGAUUUUGUAAUAAUCAAACUACCUGAGAGACUACUGUGCAAAAGAAAAUAUAAAUUGGUCCUUUGCUGGAAUCGGGGUAGCAUUUAAUAUCCUGUAUGGAAAUUACAUAGAAAAACACUGGCUUAAAAUAAAUAAGAAACUUUCUAACAUUUAGAGCUACCUGACAAUGGAACUAGCAGUCCAGGGAAAUAGUAAGUGCUCUUUCAUUACAACUAUUCCAAGAAAAGACAGAUAUACACUUUCAAACUACAUGAUAUUGAAAAAAGAAAAAAAUAAAUUAUAUGAUAAAGUAUAAUUUCUCCCAAAUUGGUAUUACCAAUACAUAUUCCCAGACAGUCGUAUAUAAAAGUGAUCUGACUCACAUUCUCUUCAACAGUUAGUUACAUCAGAAAUAUUAAAUGUUGCCAUUCUAUUAGAUGUAAAAUUAUAUCACCUGUUUUUAAUUCCUAAUUAUGUGAAUAUCAAUAAGGUGGAGCACUUUACGUUCCUUGG
ensembl:lncRNA novel transcript